ACAAAUAAAAUUCUACAUACACAUUUUAAAUGCACAAUGGUAUUCUGAUUUUAAAAAUUAACUUACUCCGCAGCUUUAUAAAUUCUAACAUGAAAUAACAUUCUCUAAAAUUCUUAAUCUACUGUAAUUAAGGGUCAAGGAGAAACAGAGCCUUCCCCAGCAGUAUUGGGCACAAGUCCUUGAUGGCAUACGAUGGAAGUCCAUUGCAGACCCAACCGCAAGAGUUCCAGGUGUAAAAUCCUUAAGUUGAGCAGCAAAUCUCUGGAAAUUUUGUUUUACAAGCAGACUCAUAGAAAAGUAAAGGUUUGUUGGUUUGUCUAUAACACAAUAUUCUAAAACGCACAACUCGAGAGAUGUGUACUAACACCACCAGUAGUAGUAGACCUCAUCAGACACUAGCAAGGUUUAUUCCAUUUGAUCUGGUAUUCUCCUAACACUUUGUAUCCUGCAUAGGCUUUCAAUAAUGUGAUAAAUUUUGUACAGACUUGUACAGAAUGUCAGAAAUGUUUUGGAGUUUUUAUUUCCUCCUGCUUACUCAAGUGAAAUAAAGAGCAGCAAAAGCACACAGUAUAUGGUAUUCACUAUGCAGUGAAGAAAAAUAACACCAAAAUAAGUAAGAAGGAAACUGUGUGAAUGUUUGUAAUACUCUUUAAUGGCAUGUCUGGUUAAGGGAUAAGCAAAGGCACCACCAAAAUGGCAUAGGGCAGAGCCCCCUUUCAUGGCCAAUUUGCCAAGUUUGGCAGCCCAGGCCAGUUUGUGUGUCAUUGUGGUUUGCAGUUUUACUUAUGAAGGACUUUCUGCACACCCUGUGCCAUCCUUUUUUCUACUAGGAUUUGGUUAACCUCGUCAGAUAUGAAGCCCUAGAAGUUCAACAGACAAGGUCACCAGGACAAGAGAGAGAGAGAGAUUGUGUGGGUAUGGGUGUGGGAGAGGGGUGAAUGGGGUUGGGUUGUAACCUGAAAUUAAAUGUUUAAUGCCCCCUCAGGACAUUAGAAGGUAUGGGAUCCAGCAGCUACCAGGGGUGUCUGACCCACUUAUCAAGUGAAAGUGAAAGGAAAUGGAAGGCUACCAAGAGGCUGCAAGACUUCCCGGCUGACAUAUGGUAUUGUAGUAUUACCAUCUCGGAAUAUAGGUAAAAGGUGCCUAAUAUACUGUAGGUACAAGAUUAAGAAAAACUGUGAGGAAGCCAAUAUACCCUCCUAAAAAAAAACUAUGGAUUUCUUUUAUGGUUAGGGGAAUGGGGAUGUUCGAUUGAAGUCAAAAAUUGACUUUCAGAGGGAGUAUAAGCUAAAUAGUGGCAAGACAUUUGAGUGUAGACUCUGAAUGAUCAUUAAGGAGAGGCUAACUGGUAGGGGCAUCAUACGUGGAUCAUGACAGAGUGAGAGAUCAAAUAGAGAAGGUUGCUAAGAAAAAGAGUAUGUUGUGUUGUUUAGCAGACAGACAUGUAGACAACCACUCCAUGUGGUAUACAAUGGUUCAGUUCCUAAAGGAAGGCUCAUUUGGACAAAAAAAUGUAAUUCUCUGCCUAUUGGUGUUGCCGUGUGUCCUUCCUUAUUCACCAAAUUAAUUAUUAUUAUUUAUUUGUAUGAUUAUUAAUUUUAUUAAUUUGGAUUAUUGUUAUGUGUUAGUAAGAAUAAAAUCACUAUUAUAUUUUAUUUGUGUGCUUCUUAAUAUUAUUCUAGUUGAGAAAAGACACCACAAGAGCACCCUCAUCUCUUACCAUAUAAUCCAUUUCAGGGUUUUGCAGGGCUGGAGUCUUUCCUGGCAACUGUGAACACAAGGCAGACAGUAACCCUGGUUAGUGGUGCGAGUCCUUCACCGCAGGGCCUCUUUACACAAUGAAAGAUACCUUUGCAGAACAUCCAUGAUAAAUAAAAGUAUACCACAACUGAAUUUUGUGGAGAGUGAGAUGCAAAUUUAUAUGCCUGGAGGAUUUCAGCAAUUUCAGUAAUGGCAACUCCCCUAGUUACAAUGAUUAAAGAAAACAUUUGACUGUCUUUAACAAUCAAGAAGGAUGCAGCAUUGAGAUCUCAAAGAUACUUUACAUUUUGCCAUUUUAUGAGAUUAGUUACAUAUAGUAAAACUGAACAUUAUAUUAUAGUCAUCCUGUAAAUUUUAUAUACAUAUAUAUUAGAGGUUUGUGCCUCCCUUGUAUACAGGUAUGUGUUAUAGUCCAGUAUUUCUUUGUAUCAGGUGAACUGUCUAAACCAUCUGUCUGACAUGAGUUUAGAGCUAAAUACGAGGGAGAUUCAAGCUAAAGUUAGAAAAUUGGAUUUAUUAGAAAAUGGAAUGAACCUUCCAAAUGGAAUGAACAACACUGAUAAUAUCAUUUCUCAAUCUGGUCUCCUACCUUCUCAAUGCACUUGUGUCACCUACCUGGAAGUGCCUGGAUUCCAGCAGAAUAAAAGAUUUUGUCUUGUCCUGGUAACUAAUUAUGCACUGCUUUCUUCAUGUCAUCAUUUGUCUUGAAUCGACAACCUCCCAGAUGUAUUUUUAGAGGUCCAAAAAGGUGGAAAUCACAUGGAACAAGGAGGAUGUGGCAAUACCUCAAACUUUAGUUUCUCCAGACAAGCC